GACAUCAUGGCCGGGUUGUCACGGCGGUCGACCGGAAAUCACUCCGCGGUCAGGUUCAAGUCCUGAUGGUGUCU